GCUUUCGUGGCCAAAUCGGUUACGGCUCCCGACUCUUACCGAUUGGUCGAUCGGGCGAUUGCGGGUUCGAGUCCCGCCGAGAGCU
rfam:Cryptococcus pinus CBS 10737 unplaced genomic scaffold supercont1.8, whole genome shotgun sequence.